rnacentral:rRNA from 1 species
GGCGAACGCUGGCGGCGUGCUUAACACAUGCAAGUCGAACGGAAAGGCCUGCUUUCCCUUGUGGAUUGCGGGUACUCGAGUGGCGAACGGGUGAGUAACACGUGAGUGAUCUGCCCCCAACUUGGGUAUAAGCCUGGGAAACUGGGUCUAAUUCCCGAUAGGACUGCAGGGUGGUGCCUGUGGUGGAAAACGAUUUUCUAGUGGUUGGGGAUGAGCUCGCGGCCUAUCAGCUUGUUGGUGGGGUAAUGGCCUACCAAGGCGGCGACGGGUAGCCGGCCUGAGGGGGUGGACGGCCGCAUUGGGACUGGGAUACGGCCCAGACUCCUACGGGAGGCAGCAGUGGGGAAUAUUGCACAAUGGGCGGAAGCCUGAUGCAGCGACGCCGCGUGGGGGAUGACGGCCUUCGGGUUGUAAACUCCUUUCGACCGCGAGGAAGCCACCUGGUUGGAAGGGUGGUGACGGUAGUGGUAGAAGAAGCACCGGCUAACUACGUG